GUGAUGAACGUGGGAACGGCGGAUAGAUGGCGAAGGCUUGAUUGGCUGA
rnacentral:snoRNA from 1 species